UCAUGCAUGCAUUAGUUAUUUUUAGGGCUGUCAAGCAAUUAAAAAAAUUAAUCGUGAUUAAUUGAGAUAAGCAUUUAAUUGCAGUGUUAAACAAUAGUAGAAUACCAUUUAUUUAAAAAUGUUGGCAAUUUUUCUAUAUUUUCAAAUAUGAGCUGGAGGCUCCGGGCUUCAGCCCCAGUUGGGGUACUAGGCUGGGGGUGUCGGGCUUCAGCCCCAGUUGGAGUGUGGGGCGUCAGGCUCAGCCUUCAGUCGCUCUUUCCCUGCCCAGAGUGAUGAUAAAAGCACAAGGCCCAUUGUGACAGGCGAUGUACAAACAUAUAAGAAAGACCUGGUUCUUGCUUUGAAGAGCUUACAAUGUCAGUAUAAGAGAUAAAGCUCUAGGAAGUUUGUUCAAAGCUUUUCAGAAUCAACUGAUUGAGGACCCCAUACUGAACAGCGAGAGAAAGGCUUUAUAAAUAAGGCCUUAGGGCUACAACUUGUGCUGCAGAUGAUCUCCCAUGUCUGCUCUGUCUUCUGAUUUAUGAAUUUGGGGGACGAGGGGGGAGGACUCUUUUUUUAGAAUACAAUACAGUAUUUUAAAGUGCACUGGGACAUGAAAC